GUCACGGAAAUAUCCUCGAGCUCAGUCGAGGAAAUCGAUAUGUGAUGGCGAGGUGACGUGAAAGAAUCAAUAUGAUCCCCAUACCAUAUGCAUACUUCAUAUAGCAGUUUCGCACAAAAUGGCCGUCUUGAAUGCUGCGGCACAACACUACCUAGAAUGCGAUGAGUGCGAACACCACUGCGAGUUCUAUUGCCUCAUAUGUCACAAGAAACUGUGCAACCAUUGUAAAACUGAACACCAAAUAAAUCCUAACACACAAACUCACGACGUGGUCUUAUACCAGCACCGACACAAGAAGACUACAACAGAAAAGUGUCCCCUGCACCCCGAUAGUGAUGUAGACAAGUUGUGCAAAGAGCGUGAGGUCCCCUUGUGUUGUAAAUGUUUAAUGAGCCCUGAUCACCGUGGGCAUAAGUUUGUUGAUCUUGAAGAGAUCCAUGCCGAAAAUUCAGAAAUGUACCAGAAGAAGUUGUAUGCGAUCCAUGAAUAUUUCUUGCCGGUUUCCAAGGAAGUUCUAAAGGACAUUAAAGAAGAUGUAACAAAAGUGAAGGAAAGAAUUGGUGUAAUAAGAGUAGCUAUGACGUCAGAAGCUGAUGCUGUCAAAAGAAUAGUGGACUCUGUGGUCUCUGAGAACAUGAUUGAGACGAGAUUGAGAGGCAUAUUCUUCAGGAGCUCAACACUCAGGACAAGACUCUUACUCUUGUUGACUAUAUGUCAACUCUUCAUGAACUAGAACUGAGCUUUCAAUCCAAACUUCCAAAGAAAGACUCAACAGGAUUCACUUUCAAAGAUGGCGAAGAAAACUUUCAGGGGAUAAAACCAAUCCCUGAAAUCUUAGUCCCUGUACUUCCGGUGUAUACGGAGGCCCAGAUCAACAAAUAUGAGAUUAUAAAAUUACUAGGGAAAGUGGAAAGUCUUGCAACAGUGGGAGAGAAAGGAAAUGCUCGGCCCGAAACAAAAACUGUAGACCCCAAGCAAUACAGGAUCGAGAGGAAUGCAACGAAACACAAACAAGAAGAAUGAACUCACGUUCAAACAAACUAGCAAAUUCGAUAUACUCCGUCACAAAGGUUAAGGACAUUAUGAUACCGGGUAUAAGUCAAACUUACCACAUCUCACUCGAUAAAUCCAGCAAGCUCUGGGUCAGUGAUCAUUCUGGUCACCUGGUCCAAACCGAUUUCCAUGGUAACCUAAUACAGAAAAUUCAAGUUAGCAACAUAGGAGCAGUAUAUCGCACCGUCACGUGGACUGGAGACUUACUAUAUACAGAUAUGCUGUGGAAAAAUGCCAUCAUGAUCAAUAAACUAACGCCUGACAGAAGGGUGACAAAAUUUAUUUCAACUGGAGGUUGGGAACCCCUGUGUUUACUCUUCUCGUCUUAAUGGGCACGUUCUGGUUGGGAUGUGUAAAGGUAGGGAUGCGCGGAUGACGAGAUACAGCACCAGUGGGAAGAUGCUUCAGCAUAUCAAGAUGAAAAACUUAAUACAUUCGAUGUAUGAAUUUCCAAAAUACCUCGUGGUAAACGGCAAUGCGGAUAUAUGUGUAUCCGACUGGGGCAAACAGGCCGUGAUCGUCGUGAAUGAAAACGGCAAGCAUCGAUUCACUUACACAGGUCAUUCAGCAGUCUGGUUUCUACCCCCAUGGAAUAUGUACGGAUGUCCUCGGCCACAUCCUGGUGUAUGAUGCCAACAGUUCCUCUGUCCACCUCCUGGAUCAAACUGGACAUUUCCUGUCUAUGUUGAUCACGCAGCAACACGGAGUAUCCGACCUUCGGGGUCUGUGUGUGGAUGAUGAAGAUACUCUUUUUGUGGGAGAGGGUAUCAGUAACUUUGUGAAGUUGUACAAGUAUUUAGAUCUUUGACCACAAUAAAGUUCAUUCACUUAA